UCGUGGAACUGUAGUGAUAACUCAGCCAUAGGCUUCGUGCUGUUUUGAUUUAUAAGAAACGAAAAGCAGAACGCAAAAUGGGUUGCAAAAUUGUUGGAGAGAGAAUAGGAAACGUAAUUUACAUUGACAUUCUGGGAGGCAAUCACUGAAGCGUUUAACGAUGAAACUUGCUAAAAGCAGAAGGUGACAAGCAGCUAAACAGUAGAUACUGUGAGAAAUUUGCAUUUGCAAAACAAGAUACUGAAGUAGCAGAAACAUAUCGCAAAUUCAGUAGUACCACAACAGAACGACUACAGGAGCGAAAUGUACACCUCACCACUCUGAAUUGGGGCCCAGCUCAUCGCCAGACUGCAGAAGGACGUCUCUGUGAAAUAGGAUACCCUGGACCAUAUUUAAGCUCUUAUGGGGCGUGAUAGUUACAGAAACAUCCGCCAGCUUGUCACAAGCUAGUAAUGUUGGUGACUGGGCUGAGGAUGCUGUUUUGAUCAAGACUGACCCACAUCUCGUUUUGGACAAUCCCUCCACCACUCCAAAUGCUCCACAAAAACCUGAGGCUUCAUUGUCAUGAAAGACUGCCCAUCAGCUCUCGAACAUACAAGGUACCGUGGCGAAUAAGUUUCGCUGCCAUCCUUAGCCUGAUGUUCCUUCCAUGGUGUGGCCAAGAAGGGGAACGAUUUGGCGUCGCACUUCUGUGUGUUGAAUUGAACUUGUGAUCGCUUAGAGACUGCUAGUAUUUUACCACCACCAGCAAGAGAUGAUGGACUACGCUUCAUCUUGUGUCAUUCGCCCUGAUGCCACCCACUCAGACCAAGAGCACUACCCACAGGUGCCACCUAGCCACAGCAAAGGCCACCUGGCAGGACGGCCAUUGCCAGACGUCCCGAUGCCGCAGGGGGAUCGGUAUCUACCCCUUGGCAUACGUGGGGAUUUAAUGGCGCAAUCAUCAGCAGAGCGAUCCCUGUGUGGUCAGGGGGCUACAACCAACACGGUACAUGGUGGCCCCACCACAACGGACUGGCUACCGUGCUGGAUAUCAGGUGCAAAGAAAUCCAUGGUCAUCGUUGACACAGAAAGCGACACUGCACAAUGCAUGGUGGAAAACACAUCCAGAAAGGUGUCCUCGCCCAAUAGAUGGGGAAUGAGCGGGACUGAGAUGCGACAAUGAGGAAGUGGGCUAAAGAUUUCAAUGCACGAUGGACAUUAUGCACCAUGUAAGGCUCCCUUCCCCAAUUGGCUUGAUCUUCGGGAAAAUUUUGAAGAAUGGAGUUCAAAACCCUACAGGGGACUGUCACAUAAAGGCUGAAACGUGGGAAACUCCUUUUAAUCGCCUCUUAUGACAGGCAGGAAUACCUAGGGCCUAUUCUUACCCCUGGACAUGCAGGGGGAGAACCAUCAGUGAUUUCACCAUACAGGCAAAGGAAAGAUGACUGAUGUGAAUCUUCUACUUACUAUCUAAACAUUUUGGGGAUGACUGGAAGAGCAUAGGAGAUUUAGAUUUCUGUGCAAACUUCAUUGGUGCAGUUCCUAUUGUAACUGGCAGUGAGGAAGGGGUUUGUACAUCAGCUUGUGGUUGCUUGAAAGGAGCACGAGGACCUUACCAAAUAUUAAGAGAAACCAAAAGAAUGGCCAUUCUCAAGAUUCUAUAAAUCAAAAUAUUUACCAGAAAGACGUGCUGAGUUUGAUAUGAAAUGAUUAAUGUGACCAUAUUUAUUGUGUAAUAAAAAUGUUUUCAAAGACAAAUGGCACCAAAAAGGACAUCAUUAACACGUAUUCUACAACA